UCCUGAAACAGAUAAAAGUGGAUGUGAGAGUCAGAAGUUGAGGUCAGAUGAUCAGCAGCAGACUGGACCUCACAGCCCACACAGAACCACUAAAGGUGAGUCUGCUCCUGAAGUCUGAACUUGUUCCACAUGAAAACUCCACUGGGAUGAAUGUGAGCAGGAACAGUGAUGUUAGCUCUGAUCUCAGGUCCAGUUUCCUCCUGCUGGGCUCCACAGCUCAGAGGCUGCUUCUGGUUCUGGUCCCAGCAGUGAAGAAACAAAUGGACUUAGUUCCAUUCAUCACUUUGAUCUGACAGUAAAAACACAGGAUCAUCUGAGAAAAUAUAAAACUUCUUCACAACACUUUUACUGACACUUUUACACUUUUACUCAAGUGGACUUUUACUUGUAACAGAGUAUUUUUACUUUGUGUUUCUGCUUCUGUCACUUCAGUAAAGUAUCCCAGUACUUCUUCCACCACUGACUACUGUCCACAAACAUGGAGAUUAAAAUCACUGUCAGCUUCUUGGUGCUGGUCGGGUCCACAGUUAUUGGGCCCUGAUGGCAGCACAUCAACACAGUCGCAGGUUUUAUGAAGCGAGAGUCUGUUGAAGCUCCGACUGUGAAACAUAAAUAUACUUUAACUCAUUAAUAAAAGAACAGAAUCAAUAUUUAGAGCUUCUUAUAGACACAUAUAGACUGAGAGACAGUUUCACAUCUCCACACAGAGUUUUAAAUGAUAGAAUCAGAACAAUUCUUCUGUCUCAGCUCACUAAAGCUCACUAAAGAUCACAGCAGGAUCUAGAUUUGAUUUGAAAGGUUGAAGAGUUUGAUCAUUUAUGUUGCUGUGAAACAGGUUCGGUCCUGAUUUCUGAAUCUGAAUUCAUCCUUCAGCAUCAAAUCCUUCAGCAGAUCUCUGAUCAGCUUCUGCUGCUUUAAUAGUCACAAUUACUACAAUUAUAAGAUGAUCAUUAAUGUUGGAGACUUGUAGUUACAGCCUGAAUACAAUGGUGCUAAUUACAAGUUUUAAUUAGUGUCCAGUAGAAACUCAGUUCAAAGCUCCAUGAUCUCAUAUUAUUACAGGAACUAUCAUUGUGUUUAUUCACAGUUAAAGUUUGGUCCUAGUUUUCAGUGUGAGUUCAGUUUGUAGUUGAGAAAUAAAAGAAUGAAACCCUCAGUGAGUAAACUCUUCUCUUCCUGUUCUGUUGUGUGAUUCUUGUGUAACUGGGCUGCUGUAACGCUGCAGUUUGUGGUUGGGAUUAAUAAAGUCUCUCUCUAAUCUCUCUAAUCUAAACAGAGCUAACAGUGACGGCCUCUCUGACGGCUUCACUCUGCUGUUGCUGUGCUUUCUGUCUCCAGGGCUGCAGACCUGUUGGGAGGUUCAUCAGCAGCGUGGGACACACCUGGGCCUGAUGUGCUGCAUGUAUACAACUCCUUCACAACAUCUGCUCACACAUCUUUGUGUCCUGGCUUUUGGUUUCCUUUGGUUUGUUUUUACAGCUCAACAUCCACACAGCACAUCUUCACUCAUCCACUGCUGCACUACUGACUGCACUCACUCCUCCAGCUGUCUGUGAAACAACACGACCAGAACACAAUCUCACCUGGUUCUGAUCCGUUAUAAAGGACAGUUACAGGAUUAUAAAUGAAACAUGUUUCCUGUUCAUCACUUCUCUGCUGGUACAUGAGGAUUACAGAGUGUUUAAGAAGGAGAGAAACAUGAAGAGCAGAGAAACAGAAGCCUUAAUUACACCUCGUUACAUCGUUAGAUAAGAAAAGACAAGAAAACUUUUCUAACUUCUCCUUAAAAAACUCUUUUUCUGCCUCCCAUCAUGACAGAAACACAUCGACAGUGACGACUUUACAGCAGCUCCUCAACUUUAAACAUUUGAUGUGCGUCAUGUGAACUUUGUUUCUAUUCACAUUAAAUAAUAAAGAAAAUGUGUUAUGAAAUGUGAAACACAGGAUCAUUAAAAGCUCGUCUCCUUCUGUUAACAUAGUUUGUGUGUGGACACUUUAAUAGGAACACCUGUACAAUCUAAAGUAGGCUGAGCAACAUAAACAAUAUAAACUGUUGUCAUGAUAUGAGAAUAUAUAUUGUUUUAGAUAUUUGAUAUUCUCACAUGGUGAUAUAUCAAAACUGUUUCCUGGUUCUUAAGGCUCAUUAUACAACAAGUAGUUCCGAUGAAGCAAUCUGAUUGGUCAACAAGAUAUUUAGACCGAGCUCAAAUCAGCCUGACAGCACGUCUGACUCAUUACUCAAAAUAUUACUCCGCCAAGUCUGUGUAUCCGUCUCCAUGGCAACAUAGUAACUGUCAGCUGGAGCAAACAAAUAAAAACUACGGCUUAAAAACUCAAACUUUCUGCCGUAAAAUAUGCAGAGGAAAACUCUGGAGAAGCAGCUGCUAGACGUUCCUCUGUCGACCAGAAGAAAGUGAGAGAUUGGUGACAAAAUAAAACGGAGCUGUCCGAGGAGGACAGAACAGGACCAGGCUGCCUGGUGGAGGGAGGAAGAAGGCCAGCGAGGAGCCGGAGAUAAACAUGGGGGGACGGGUGAUCAGCAGACGGGCACGCCACGAGAGAGUGUCCCGCAAAAUGAUCAGGGCGAUGGAGAAACAAAUGUCCGCCACCGUGAGUGACAGCAGAGAUGAGGAGUUUGCUGUGAGUGCUGGUCGGCUGAAUCGUUUCCUCCGCCGCAACAACUUCACUUGCAGAAGACAAAUGUUGACCAGCAGGAUGCCAGAGAAUUCACCGAGAAGCUGGAGAAGUUUGGGACAUUUUCAUUCUGCAUUUCUCUGAGGAAGGAAUUAAACAACUGUCCCAAAUUGCCGCCUGGUCUGUAACAAAUAAACGCCCCGAUUAUUAUUUGGUAUUUUACGGCAUUUUAAGACCGCGAUAAAACAUUAACGUGAGCUCAGAGUUCACUCAUCUGGGACUAGAUAAUCCUUUCUGUUGCUCGGUCGUUACUAAGGGCUGGAUUAUCUGCUGGAGUGGUAAAGUGUGAACUCACAGACAGUCGGUGUGAAGGAUUUAAACAGUCAGCAGCAGAAGAGGCAGCUGUGGAGCUUCACUACAGGCCUCGUUUGUGGAAACUGCCUCUCAACUGGAAAGGAGCCACAAACUUGACAGAAAAGGAGGCUCAGAGUUCAGGACCACUUUCAGUCUGAGCUCCUCAGUGGACCUGAGCCCGGUACCAACAUCAUUCUUUUAUGUCACUGACAAAAAGAUUCAGUGAUGAAGAUCCUGUGACAUCAGAACCAGAAGCAGCUCCAGUGUGACUCCAGGAGACGGAGCUCAGAUGUGUUUCAGGACUCAAAGUUUCUCUGAUUAAUCAACUAAAUGAACUCAUGAAUCAAG